rnacentral:rRNA from 1 species
CAGUAGCCACGGUAAUACGGAGGGUGCAAGCGUUAAUCGGAAUUACUGGGCGUAAAGCGCACGCAGGCGGUCUGACAAGUCAGAUGUGAAAUCCCCGGGCUUAACCUGGGAACUGCAUUUGAAACUGUCAGGCUGGAGUCUUGUAGAGGGGGGUAGAAUUCCAGGUGUAGCGGUGAAAUGCGUAGAGAUCUGGAGGAAUACCGGUGGCGAAGGCGGCCCCCUGGACAAAGACUGACGCUCAGGUGCGAAAGCGUGGGGAGCAAACAGGAUUAGAUACCCGAGUAGUCCCUGUCUCUUAUAC